AGAGUUUGAUCAUGGCUCAGAUUGAACGCUGGCGGCAGGCCUAACACAUGCAAGUCGAGCGGAUGACAGGAGCUUGCUCCUGAAUUCAGCGGCGGACGGGUGAGUAAUGCCUAGGAAUCUGCCUGGUAGUGGGGGACAACGUUUCGAAAGGAACGCUAAUACCGCAUACGUCCUACGGGAGAAAGUGGGGGAUCUUCGGACCUCACGCUAUCAGAUGAGCCUAGGUCGGAUUAGCUAGUUGGUGAGGUAAUGGCUCACCAAGGCGACGAUCCGUAACUGGUCUGAGAGGAUGAUCAGUCACACUGGAACUGAGACACGGUCCAGACUCCUACGGGAGGCAGCAGUGGGGAAUAUUGGACAAUGGGCAAAAGCCUGAUCCAGCCAUGCCGCGUGUGUGAAGAAGGUCUUCGGAUUGUAAAGCACUUUAAGUUGGGAGGAAGGGUUGUAGAUUAAUACUCUGCAAUUUUGACGUUACCGACAGAAUAAGCACCGGCUAACUCUGUGCCAGCAGCCGCGGUAAUACAGAGGGUGCAAGCGUUAAUCGGAAUUACUGGGCGUAAAGCGCGCGUAGGUGGUUUGUUAAGUUGGAUGUGAAAUCCCCGGGCUCAACCUGGGAACUGCAUCCAAAACUGGCAAGCUAGAGUAGGGCAGAGGGUGGUGGAAUUUCCUGUGUAGCGGUGAAAUGCGUAGAUAUAGGAGGGAACACCAGUGGCGAAGGCGACCACCUGGGCUCAUACUGACACUGAGGUGCGAAAGCGUGGGGAGCAAACAGGGUUAGAUACCCUGGUAGUCCACGCCGUAAACGAUGUCAACUAGCCGUUGGGAGUCUUGAACUCUUAGUGGCGCAGCUAACGCAUUAAGUUGACCGCCUGGGGAGUACGGCCGCAAGGUUAAAACUCAAAUGAAUUGACGGGGGCCCGCACAAGCGGUGGAGCAUGUGGUUUAAUUCGAAGCAACGCGAAGAACCUUACCAGGCCUUGACAUCCAAUGAACUUUCCAGAGAUGGAUUGGUGCCUUCGGGAACAUUGAGACAGGUGCUGCAUGGCUGUCGUCAGCUCGUGUCGUGAGAUGUUGGGUUAAGUCCCGUAACGAGCGCAACCCUUGUCCUUAGUUACCAGCACGUUAAGGUGGGCACUCUAAGGAGACUGCCGGUGACAAACCGGAGGAAGGUGGGGAUGACGUCAAGUCAUCAUGGCCCUUACGGCCUGGGCUACACACGUGCUACAAUGGUCGGUACAGAGGGUUGCCAAGCCGCGAGGUGGAGCUAAUCCCACAAAACCGAUCGUAGUCCGGAUCGCAGUCUGCAACUCGACUGCGUGAAGUCGGAAUCGCUAGUAAUCGCGAAUCAGAAUGUCGCGGUGAAUACGUUCCCGGGCCUUGUACACACCGCCCGUCACACCAUGGGAGUGGGUUGCACCAGAAGUAGCUAGUCUAACCUUCGGGAGGACGGUUACCACGGUGUGAUUCAUGACUGGGGUGAAGUCGUAACAAGGUA
rnacentral:rRNA from 1 species